GAACGAAUCUCCGGCGCCGGUGACGCGGAUGCCACGGCGGCGACACUCAGCGAGGUCAAAAUGGUCAUAUCCAGCGCUAGUACCCACGAUGCACUCCAAAUUAGGGUACUUAUCCAGGGUCUCCGAGGUGACCGGAGUAGGACCAACACAGAGCAUGACCCGAACCGAGCCGGAAAUGGGUGGAAGUGAUGGGUCGGAUUCGUCAAGCGGGUCGAAAACCCUGUACCAGGUUUUUAGUUUGGAUGAGAACGAAUUUCCAAAUCUCGGAUAGCGAUGGACGAGAACUUGCCGGAUAUUGGUAGUUCCCGGCGACUGAUGCUGAUCGGCAGAAGCCAUGUUCUGGUUUUCUUGGAGUGCGUAUUGAAUUACUGCUCAAAUUUUCAGAGCCAACCAAUGGAUGAAACCUUUGUCAAAACUUGUCGUCUUUCUCCUUCCUUCUUCCCCAAAAAU
rnacentral:misc_RNA from 1 species